rnacentral:rRNA from 1 species
UACAGAGGGGGCGAGCGUUAAUCGGAAUUACUGGGCGUAAAGCGCGCGUAGGCGGCUUUUCAAGUCGAUUGUGAAAUCCCCGGGCUUAACCUGGGAACUGCAGUCGAGACUGUCUAGCUAGAGUAUGGGAGAGGGAAGUGGAAUUUCAGGUGUAGCGGUGAAAUGCGUAGAUAUCUGAAGGAACAUCAGUGGCGAAAGCGACUUCCUGGACCAAUACUGACGCUCAUGUGCGAAAGCGUGGGGAGCAAACAGG